rfam:Triticum urartu cultivar G1812 contig374162, whole genome shotgun sequence.
CUAGUACUCCCUGCGUCCCAAAAUUCUUGUCUUAAAUUUGUCAAGAUACGGAUGUAUCUAACGCUAAAACGUAACUAGAUACAUCCGUAUUUAGAUAAAUCUAAGAUAAGAAUUUUGGGAUGGAGGAAGUAGAAU